rnacentral:rRNA from 1 species
UACGAAGGGGGCUAGCGUUGCUCGGAAUCACUGGGCGUAAAGCGCACGUAGGCGGAUCUUUAAGUCAGGGGUGAAAUCCCAAGGCUCAACCUUGGAACUGCCUCUGAUACUGGGGAUCUCGAGUCCGGAAGAGGUGAGUGGAACUGCGAGUGUAGAGGUGAAAUUCGUAGAUAUUCGCAAGAACACCAGUGGCGAAGGCGGCUCACUGGUCCGGUACUGACGCUGAGGUGCGAAAGCGUGGGGAGCAAACAGG